GGAGAGAGUCCAGGGAAGGGUAAAUCAAGAAACCAGAAGAUCUGAGGAGGCAGAUUGGGAUCUGGCAGGAGAGGGUUCUGCUGCAUGUUUUGGUCAUGACUUAGGGAAGGCACAGUCACCGAGUGAUGGAUCUGCACCAAGACUUGCCUCGGUCUUUUCUGCAUAAGAACGUGCGGAAGAAUGAUGGUUGGUGCAAGGGGAAGCCAUGGAAAGCCAUGAGUGCCUGUUCAGAAAUCCAGUGGGAAAGAUGAUUCAUGCCAUGUAGUGACACAAGGGCACAAGUGCUGCACUUCAGUCGCUCCACUGAAUUCUAUGGGAUUUUCUGUCUGCUGGAUCACUGUUUUGUUUUUAGGGCAUGUAAAAAUUACUUUGACAUUGGCUUUUGCCAGCAGAGGAGUCCGUUAAAUACAAUCAAUCUCUUAGCUCAUGUCAGGAAGACAGCGAUAGAGAAGAUGACUCUUACUAAAGCUUCAGGUAGAUGCUGUGCAUCAGACUGGUGAGCAAGAUUAAAUCUCUGAAGGCUCUGGCUGUCUCAAUCUCCAUUGAAGUUGCUGGGAUCUGAAGACACAACUUUCUUAUUACGGUGCUGUUUGCUAUAAGUGUUAAUAUGGUCAAAGGAAGACUACCCACCAAAGACUGUACACAAGAACUCCUUUGAAAUAACCAAAGUGGAGCUGGUAGGACUGAGUUUGAAGUCUGACUCAGACUGUUAAAAAACAGAAGAGCCCACCCCAGAGCAGUUCCUUAUGGCAAUUAAAAAAUAACUCCAGUAAGCAGGCACAGCCAUUGUGGAAAGCCACUGUAGCCCUUAUACUGGCCCCUGAAACAUCAUGGGACAACACAGCAAGGUUUCAAGAUACUCAGGCCUCUCAUUCAUAGACAAGAGUUUAAAAUUCUACAAUGAAGAGAAACAGAGCCAGAAGACUCCUCUCAGUCAUGGAAAACACACUCUGCAACAGCUCAACACAAGCAUAGAUGAUAGCGAGGGAUCUCGCUGUGCACAAGCAGAAUGCCGCAGUUAAUUUAUCCCAUGGAGGAAAUCACGCUGUGCUCUCAGACAGCUCCAGACAUGGAUCCGGACUCAGACUGAUCUCACCAGAAACUCUCAACCCCCUGUGACUGCUAUGGCACAUAUUGUUCCUGAAAGUAAAAUUCUGGUUAGUUGCAAUGAAACAGAUUUACUCUGUUCAGUUGCCAUGACGAGCUAAACAAUUCAGUUUUUCUUACCAAGCCUCUUUCUUGUUAAAAAAAUAAACGUCUCUGACCCACUUCUCUGCCAGACCUAGAGAGAGAAAAGCACCAUCUUCUGCUGCUAGAUUAAGCACAGGCACUUUCUUAUAGCAAUAACUUAUUUUUAACUCUUCAGCUUAAAACAACACUGCUGUUUAUGAGGUCUGAUUCACAGAUUGACAUAGUGCUACAUCAUGUAUGUGUAUGCUGCAGCCUCCAAAGAUCAUUCCUUCCAACUGCGUGGCUAAUGGCCCCAGAAGCCUGCAUUAUUAAGACAAUAAAUAUUCAUGUUUGAAAGUAAUACUCAAUCUACUGCUAGACCACCAGGGGAAGAACAUUUCUUAAACAUGCAGUAGUCCAGCUCUCAUGAUUUGCUAGAGCCAAAGAAAACUCAGAUCUUAACAACCCUAAAAACAAACCUCAGUGAGAUCUCUCUGAACAGGCAAGGCUGCAGGAGUCACGUGGGUCCUGACUCAGGCUUUCCUCAAUCCCAUCAAAAUGUCAUGGAAAACAAUCUCCAGUUCUGCAAGCAUGGAAUGAGCUAUAUUUUCAAAUAACUUAAAGGCAAACACACUAUACCCAAAAUAUAUUCAUAUGUAUGUUUUUAUGAUACAGAACAACAUAAAACUACUACCAGGAUAUAGUAUAUCUAUGUAUCAUAGAUCCCAAGGCAGCACAGCUAUGGGUCUUCCUGUUCUAUCACACCUUUAAGACAAAUUAUCGACCUCAGAAUCAUAUUGGUGUCAUUUUACUGAAUCAUCCCAUUUCCAAGAAAACAUAUUGCAUUUCCUCUGCACUGUGCACACUGAAUACAUGUGCUCAAGUUUUCCCUCCCUCUCAUGUUUCAUGACCUUGGGAUUACCUAGCAGUGCUUCCAUCUCAACAUUUGGAGAGACCAGGAGCAUCCUAUGUUGCAAACACAAAUCUUGAUUGGUACCUUACAAAAGACAUGAUUAAAAGAAGGUUCAAAAGUUUGGGAAACAGUCGGUUUGACUCCAAAUUUUAUGGGCAUUGUCACUGCAUGAUUCAUACUGCCUAGCAAACGACCAGCAGUAGUGUUACUGCAGAGAGCAUCAAAACAAUGUUAGGUAAUCUUUCAAGUCAACAAUGUAGUGCUAAAUCAGCGUGACAGAAAAACUCUAGAUCUUGAUUUUAUGUCAUUUUUGAAUUCAUCACAAAAGACUGCUUGAAGAAUAAAGGUUUGUUAGCACACACUUUGUUCUAUGUCCAGCCUUUUCAGCAGACUGUUCUUGGCCUUUUAUCUCUGCCUUUUCCCCACCCCUUUUCUGAUGGUUUUGCUUUUUAGUUUUGUCUCUAAUUGGCUAUUUAUCAUCUGUUUCAGAGUAGGAUUCUUCAGGCUUUUUGAUCAGCAUGUUUACUGCUAUGGAUGAACAGUGGGUUGCCAAAAAGAGCUUUCCCUCUGAAUCUAUUAAUUCCUGAAGUAUGGGUUAUUUUAUCCAGAUAUAUUAUCCAGUUGGAAACAGCUAGCAGAUCCUACACCACAGAAAGCACCAGGUAUUAAGCCACACGUAGAUAUUCAGAUAUUGCAGUUGGGAGUAGAAUAACUUUGCUGGGAACUGGCAGCAAGUUGCUGUUUGAACACCUGGGUCUGAAUGUCCCCAGGUUAUGAUGAUGCACUUUCAAGGUGGAGCUUUUAUUGGGAACCAUCUCUGUGCAAGCAUACAUUCAGCAAGAAAGAUGAGAUGACAGCUUUACCUUCUAUAGUACUGCUACCGAGGAAACGAACUUCCUUUGCUUUUAAAUUUUCACAAAGUCUAGAAAAAGGGGGAAACCCUGUCAUAUUGAAGUCAGUGCAAAAAUUCUAUUUGUCUGCUCUGAAGUCUGGAGACAAAAUGCUUCCAAGUUAGGAACAUUUGUGCAAUGUCUGCAGUCCUCAUCCUGGAAAUUAUUCAUAGGUAUUCCUUGCAGAAUACACUUUACACUGCAGAAUGCACAGCAUUUAAGAUACCAGUUUUCAAAAUGCAGUUUCUCUAGUCCUCCUAUUCAUAAGGACAGCUCUAAAGAAAACAUAAGUUCAUGUCAGCUGGAGAGACAGCCAGAUGCUGAAUGUCUGAGAGGGAUGAACCGCAGUCUCCACUCAGCAGACUUCUGACUGCAAUCUGACAUUGAUACUGAAUGUCAGCAUUAUUAAUCCUCUCCCUGAUGGUCGUUUAUGUGGGAACACCUGGCUCAUAUGCUUCUCUUUCUAUCCCCAGUUCUUUCUCUACACAUCAAAAACCACCACUGUCAUCUGAGAUUCAAAACACCCCUGUCCUGUCUCUUCCUAUUCUACAUGAAACCCUCUGCACCGUGAUAGUUGUUACCACUCUUUGGGGGGGGAGGAGUAAAAUGAGAGGGACCAAGUCCUGAAUCUUCAACUCCAAAGCACUUACAAAGAUAGAAAAUCAGGCAUCAAAAUGAGCUAGCCCAGCUUUAAUAUCAGAACUGACUAUGCACUGGUUCCCACUCUCCUCAUUGCAACUGCAGGAAAACUCACACUAUGAGAGCCACAGCUCCUCACCCUGGCCUGCUGCAGCAACAGUUAUGCAUGUACAAGGGGCCAGCAGUGCCCAUGCACAGUGGGACCACCUGCAAUGGAGCAGCUGUCCUGGGGAAGGUCUUGGACACAGACCCACGCGGCUCAGGCAACCUCUGUCUGUAGUUAGACAUGCACUACUGCCUGUUUGACUGACUCCUCAGCUACAGUAAAAGCAAAAAUUGUAAUAUGGGGCUAUUAAGGCAAAUUAUCACACUCUACUCAAAGGAGGACAAAGACAGCAGAAAAGGAAAGGACCCUGACAGACAGUGACAUUAAAAAGUCAUCGUGCUCUUAUUGUAUGAUUAACUUAGACUUCAGCCUGUGGUAAAAAGCUUAGCAAUCAAGGUUUCAACACUAUUUACCAUUUUUUUCCUUUUCUUUUAAAAUGUUCCUAGCUAAUUUUGCACAAACAAGAAAACAUGAACAACACAGCAAGGCAAGAAUAACUUGUGAGUAAAACCAGAUGAACACUAACAUAUUUACAUAGUGUAAUGACUUCACUAUUAAUUCAAACAAACCCAGGCCCCAAUUCUCAGAAGACUGAGCUGAGCACAUGUGGUCCAGGAGACAAGAACAGGGUGGCUCAGACUGCACUGAUGUCGGCAGCCCCUGAGCAAGUAGGGGCUGCUCAAAGUUUCAGUCUACAAUAGCCACUGAGGGACCAUCUUUCAUUCCAGACAUCAUACUCUGCCUACACCCUCUUCUUGCUCAUGAAUUAACUAUAUAUAGAUCAGAUCUGGUCCCCAUCCUCAGAAUAAGCUGAUUCUGCAGCUAAGAAUUCUAUUUAUCCUUCUCCCUGCUACAUUUUACUGUAUCUUCUGAAAAUACAUCUUUUAAAGCACACUCUUCUGGUCUGAAAAUAAUAUUCUUUAUGUGGAGCUAUGGAAUCUCUUCCUUGUUCCUAGAUGUCUUGGAAGUUAAUCAACAUAAAGCCAUUAAAAAGCUUAAUCCCCUAUGCUUGGCACAACAUCAGUCUGAGAAUGGUUUCUUUGUAACAGCCUUUGGAAUAAAUAUCCAUUCAAGAUUUGUUUUUUCCUUAUACUGGUCACCCGCACUUUACAGUGGGUGGCCCUUUCAUUUAUCCCCAUUACUGUACUUCCACUUCUGAAGCUAAGCCAGACACAGCAACCUGAUACUACUUUUUUGUUCAUGCAACUCCAUUGUAAUGAAAAGUUCCACAUAUAACUGAUAUUUGUUGGGAAAGCCAAAGAAACAGGAACCAUGGUAAAAUUGCACCACCUUCUUGACAACUUUAAUUCUGAAAGAGUUGGGUUCUCCAGGAGAACACUUUGUUGGCAAGCAUGUUUUCACAUUUAGAUGCCUCGGAAUACAAACACAGUCAGUCCAUUCCUGAACACCUCUGGUUGGUAGUAUUUGCAUGACAGCC
rnacentral:lncRNA from 1 species